UCCUUGACAUGUACACUCAAUGGUAAUACUAGACGAGGUUUUGUAAUUUGUAAUUCCAUUUCACUUGAUUUUGUUGUGGAAUUUUUUUUCUUUUGUUAAUUAAAAAAAAAAAAAGGAAUGACAGGUAAUUUUCGAACAAAACUAAGUAAACGGCGUGUCGUUAUGCAAAACUACCUGUCGAAAAGUAACCCUUGUAGAAUUUCAUUCCUAGCUCCUCUCCAUGUAUGGUAGUAAGUAGACGCAGGCCGAGCUAAUUUUGCAGUGAUAAUAUGGGAAGAGCUUUGCUUUUCAAAUUCAUGAAAGCUUUAAAUUCCACUCAGUGACUGGUUUGGAAACAUUGUCUGUCCGGUAAAACUCUACGCUGCCCAAACUUUUGAAACUUUGUUGGUGUACCUCGGAAAAUAGUAGGCAUGAGUGAUGGGUUCAAUACCUGGAACACACACAUCUACACUCUUUCAAACGUAUUGAAUUCUGAUAGUAAUUUUUAAGCAUGGUAAGAGGCAAUAAGGUAAGACCAUUAAAACACAUGCCAUCGAGACUUUGGAAGCUUUUCUGUGAUUAAAGCUUCCCAUCCUAUGCAACAGUUCAGUAAACUUGAUCUUUCCUCUUCAUGAUUAGGAUAAAGGAUCCCACAUUUUUAUUCUUGAAUGAUUUUAACUUCUGGCAGCAGGACAUCUCCAUAUUUUUUUGAAUAGCCCUCUGCCCAUAUUUCAGAAUGCCAAUUGUCAAGCCAGGAAAAUUUUAAUUUCCAUUUCCAAAUGUAUGAAAUGCAGAAGAUAUAACCUUACAUCUAAUUCAAUUAUUUGGGAAUUUUUCUUCAUUUUGUUUUCCUUUUGGAGUUCUUCAGGUGUGGACCUUGUAAAGUGAUAG
rnacentral:misc_RNA from 1 species